CUGAAUCAAACACUCCGAACUCCAGAACACGACAACACACGUUUCCGGUGAAACGCUCUUCUUCUUUGGUGUUACUACGGUCCUGUCUGAUGGAUGGAACGUGCUGUUCUCUCCCUCUCUCUCUUGCUCUCUGAGCUACUUCAGAGUUAUUCCUUGUCUUCGGCAAAAAACCUAAAAAAUGUAAACAACUGCCUCCGACAAAAGAUGAAGACUGAGUGGGUGUGAUGACAUUGACCACAGAACAUAUGGAAGUUGUUUUUUUACUUUUUAUUAUUUUUUUGUUUUUUUUGUUUUAUUGUCACAUCUUAUCAGAUGUUAAAAAAUAAAGAGCAUUAUGUGUGGUACGGAUAAAAUAAAAAGGUCAUUAGGUGUGUAAUUAUUCCUUCAGUAAACCUUUUUAAAAAUAAUGACUUCUGUACAUUGUCAGCAAAAUAUGACAUAUUUUGCCUGUUAUUCAUAUAUUUAUUCAAUUUGAUCAUUUGAGUUACCCUAUUUGAUUGGACUGUGUUGAUUGUGUUAAAAAUAAAUAUAUAAGUGAAAUAUA